rnacentral:rRNA from 1 species
GACGAACGCUGGCGGCGUGCCUAAUACAUGCAAGUAGAACGCACAGUUUAUACCGUAGCUUGCUCCACCAUAGACUGUGAGUUGCGAACGGGUGAGUAACGCGUAGGUAACCUGCCUGGUAGCGGGGGAUAACUAUUGGAAACGAUAGCUAAUACCGCAUAAUAUUGAUUAUUGCAUGAUAAUUGAUUGAAAGAUGCUAUUGCAUCACUACCAGAUGGACCUGCGUUGUAUUAGCUAGUAGGUGAGGUAACGGCUCACCUAGGCGACGAUACAUAGCCGACCUGAGAGGGUGAUCGGCCACACUGGGACUGAGACACGGCCCAGACUCCUACGGGAGGCAGCAGUAGGGAAUCUUCGGCAAUGGACGAAAGUCUGACCGAGCAACGCCGCGUGAGUGAAGAAGGUUUUCGGAUCGUAAAGCUCUGUUGUAAGAGAAGAACGGGUGUGAGAGUGGAAAGUUCACACUGUGGCGGUAUCUUACCAGAAAGGGACGGCUAACUACGUG